UCUAACAUGUGCGCGAGUCAUUGGGACUUUUUUUUCAGGAAAGCCUAGAGGCGCAAUGAAAGUGAAGAUCAGCCUUUACGGCUCGAUCGAGGGAGGAUGUCUCGGUCAUCACGAGCGAGUCCGCACUCCCGGGGCGUCUCGCGCUCAUCUCGAGCGGAGGCGCACCCAGAGCGUACACGUUGGGACCCGAAAGAUGGUGAACUAUGCCUGGUCAGGACGAAGUCAGGGGAAACCCUGAUGGAGGUCCGUAGCGAUUCUGACGUGCAAAUCGAUCGUCGGAACUGGGUAUAGGGGCGAAAGACUAAUCGAACCAUCUAGUAGCUGGUUCCCUCCGAAGUUUCCCUCAGGAUAGCUGGCACUCGCUCUGAGCGAGUCUCAUCUGGUAAAGCGAAUGAUUAGAGGCCUUGGGGCCGAAACGACCUCAACCUAUUCUCAAACUUUAAAUGGGUGAGAUCUCUGGCUUGCUUGAAACUUGAAGCCACGAGAUUAUAUAAUGGAUCAGAGUGCCAAGUGGGCCAAUUUUGGUAAGCAGAACUGGCG
rnacentral:rRNA from 1 species